UACAGUUUCAUUUUCUAUCAGUGUGCAUUUAAUUUUGCAAUGUUUAUUAUGUAUCUUUAUUUUUAAAUUAAUAAAUACAAUUUGAAAAUAUUAUUUUUCAUACUCUUCACUUGUUCUACACGAUAUCCCAAUAUUAUCGAUAAUUUCCGUAGAUAUUUCACGUUUUAUACCCGAUCCGAUGGUAUUUUAUUAGAAAACUGGAUGUGGGUAC
rnacentral:lncRNA from 1 species